rnacentral:rRNA from 1 species
GACGAACGCUGGCGGCGUGCCUAAUACAUGCAAGUCGAACGCAGUGGGGACGGGUGAGUAACACGUGGGUAACCUCCCAUCAGAGGGGAUAACACUUGGAAACAGGUGCUAAACCGAUACUGAUGGAUGAACCCGCGGUGCAUUAGCUAGUUGGUGAGGUAACGGCUCACCAAGGCCACGAUGCAUAGCCGACCGGCGCGGUUGAGCUGCCAAACUGCGACGUUGAAACGGCCCAGAGUCCCACGUGAGGCAGCAGGAGGGAAUCUGCGGAAAUGGACGAAAGUAUGACCGAGCGACGCCGCGUGAGUGAAGGAGGUUUUCGGACCUUAAAACUCUGUUGUUAGAGAAGCGGUAUCUAACCAGAAAGCCACGGCUAACUACGUGCCAGCAGCCGCGGUAAUAC